rnacentral:rRNA from 1 species
AAAUUUCCCCUAUCCAUGACACAGGGAGGUAGUGACAAGAAAUAACAAUACAGGGCGAAUGUCUUGUAAUUGGAAUGAUGGUGACCCAAACCCUCACCAGAGUAGCAAUUGGAGGGCAAGUCUGGUGCCAGCAGCCGCGGUAAUUCCAGCUCCAAUAGCGUAUAUUAAACUUGUUGCAGUUAAAAAGCUCGUAGUUGUAUUUUUGCGUUGACGGUUUGACCAUUUGGUUGGUUAUUUCGUUUUCGCUUUUGGGAAUUUCCCUUUUUACUUUGAGAAAAUUAGAGUGUUUCAAGCAGACUUUUGUCUUGAAUACUUCAGCAUGGAAUAAUAGAGUAGGACUUUGGUUCUAUUUUGUUGGUUAUUGAACCUUAGUAAUGGUUAAUAGGAACGGUUGGGGGCAUUUCGUAUUUAAA